GGAAAUGCAAGGAAGAGGAAGCCAUUCUCGUAAUAAGCUGGGUCAGAGAGCUGCUGGUCGGUGCGAAGCAGUCAGCCGCGAUGGAUGGACAUCACCUUGGAGCAGGUUUGCCGAAGAUGUAACGUCCAGAGGCAGGUACGGGAACCCCCAGCCGUUAUCAUGGGGCAUCAUUGAUAGAUGAUGACUAGAGUGCGUAUGGGUGAUUCCAUGCGAAUCAGGGUGGUAACGCGGAGUUUGGCUCCGUCCCUAAC
rnacentral:ncRNA from 1 species